rnacentral:lncRNA from 1 species
CACGGCCUCACCUAAUAAGGUGCUAGAAACUUACGAGAGAGAGAGAGAGGGGGGGGAGAUAUCAGAAUGAGAGAACUCAGAGAGUAUAAAAGGUCUAUUUUGAAGAGACUUGAUUAGCUUGAAGAAAACACAGAAAAACAUUUCAAUACUGAAACAAACUUAACAAAGAGAUGAAAGCAAUUUUAAAAAAUCAAACAAAUUAUUGAGGCGAAAAAUACAUUUGGUUAAAAAAUGCAACAGAUGGCAUCAAUAGCAUGAUUGAUCAAGCUAAAUAAAUAAUUAGUGAGCUCAAAGGCAGGCUGUUUGAAAAUACAGAGUUGGAGGAGGAAAAAAGCACAAAGAGAAAUGAAGAAAGCUUGGGAACUUUGGGAGAAUAUUUAAAAAGGAAAUAUUUGUGUUAUGGGUUUAAGAAGGACUUGAGAAUGCCAAAGGCUAGAAAGUUUUAUUCAUAGAAGUAAUAACAUAAAACUUCUUAAACUUAGAAAAGUAUAGGAAAUAUACAAGUAGAGGAAGGUCAAAGUUAAUCAGUCAAAUUUAACUAAAUCUAUCCCAAAACAUAGUCAAGCUUUCAGAGGUGAAAGUUAAGGAAAAGAUUCUCAAGACCGAGAGAAAAGAAAUGAAUAAUACAUAGAGGUUCCCAGUUUACCUGACUUAGCAGAUAUCCUUCAGGCCACAAGAGAGUGGCAUGAACUUUUCACAGUACUGAUGGAAAAACAUACAAAAAAAAAAAAAAAAAACACCUGUCAGUUGAGAAUAUUGUACCCAGCAAAGCUAUCCUCUAGAAAUAGAAGAUAAAUAUGUGAUAAACACAUUCCUAGACAAACAUACACUGAGAGAAUAUAUUUCUGCCAGACCUGUUCUAUAAGAAAUGCUAAAGGAUGUUCAAACUGAAAGAAGGAGAGUAAUGACUAAAAUGAAAGCAUGGGAAGGCAUAAAACUCACUUGUAAGAAUAAUUAUACAAACUCAGAAUGUUCUAAUAUUAUAUGCAUUGUAUGUACAACAAUCAUAUUUAGUACAAAUACUGAAAAAUAAAAUCAUUGAGAACAAUACAAACUUAUGGUAAUGUUAAAAUAUAGACAAUUUAAAAAGAUAUAAAAUGGGACACAAAAAUUCAAUAUGUGGGAGGAAUGGAAUGCAAGUGUUGAGUUUACUCUUUAGUAUAUUUUUUCAUUCAUUUUAUUUUAAUUGUUUAUGGUCAUAGCAAGUUGCUAUUGUUUCAAAGUAGCUUGGUAUAAUCAAAUUGUGUCUUUAUAUGUCUCACUGGAACCACAAGGCAAAACAUUUAUAAUUGCAAACCAACAAUAAUAAACAAAGAAUCAAAACACACCACUAUAGUAAAUCACUUUGCCACAAAGGGAGACUGUAAAAGGUGGAUAAAGAAAGAAAGGAACUAUAAGAAAACUAGAAAACAAGAUAUGUAAUGGCCUGAGUGGGACUUUGCCUAUCAAUACUUAUCUAGAAGAGCCUAUAAUGUGGGAACAAAUUUUUACCACACACACAUCAGAUAGAACACUAGUCUCUAGGACAUAUAAAGAACUCAAAAAUCUUAACACCCCCCCCCCAAAAAAAAA